CAGGAGAUGUGGGGUUCAACAAAGGUUGAUUUCUUCUGGUUAUAGACCUAGAUUUGAACUAGGUUUUUCUCCCAAGUCAAGGGCCCAACAGAAAUAACUGCAGGGUGCAUAAAGUGACAAUUGGCAUCAACUCACCAGGAAAUCACUGUCAAUC